UACGUAGGGGGCAAGCGUUGUCCGGAAUCAUUGGGCGUAAAGCGCGUGUAGGCGGCCCGGUAAGUCCGCUGUGAAAGUCGGGGGCUCAACCCUCGGAUGCCGGUGGAUACUGUCGGGCUAGAGUGCGGGAGAGGCGAGUGGAAUUCCUGGUGUAGCGGUGAAAUGCGCAGAUAUCAGGAGGAACACCGAUUGCGAAGGCAGCUCGCUGGGACGUCACUGACGCUGAGACGCGAAAGCGUGGGGAGCAAACAGG
rnacentral:rRNA from 1 species